rnacentral:rRNA from 1 species
GAUGAACGCUGGCGGCGUGCCUAAUACAUGCAAGUCGAGCGAACGGACGAGAAGCUUGCUUCUCUGAUGUUAGCGGCGGACGGGUGAGUAACACGUGGAUAACCUACCUAUAAGACUGGGAUAACUUCGGGAAACCGGAGCUAAUACCGGAUAAUAUUUUGAACCGCAUGGUUCAAAAGUGAAAGACGGUCUUGCUGUCACUUAUAGAUGGAUCCGCGCUGCAUUAGCUAGUUGGUAAGGUAACGGCUUACCAAGGCAACGAUGCAUAGCCGACCUGAGAGGGUGAUCGGCCACACUGGAACUGAGACACGGUCCAGACUCCUACGGGAGGCAGCAGUAGGGAAUCUUCCGCAAUGGGCGGAAGCCUGACGGAGCAACGCCGCGUGAGUGAUGAAGGUCUUCGGAUCGUAAAACUCUGUUAUUAGGGAAGAACAUAUGCGUAAGUAACUGUGCACAUCUUGACGGUACCUAAUCAGAAAGCCACGGCUAACUACGUG